UAAGUAGAAUAAAAUAGAAGUGUAAUAUUUGCAUUAGAAUUCAACAUAGUAGAGAUAAAUCUUUGUUUUCCAAAACUUCUAAAUUAAAUAAGUCAAAUAUUGCCACAGAAUUUUCUUGACUUCCUUUUUUUUAAUUUAGCGUAAUUCCUAAGUUGACUAUUAGUCCCAGAGAGCAGAACUUACUCUUAAGUCACUAUAGGUACCAAAUGUUAGAAAAUUUGGCCUUUGACUGACUGGCUAUCUCUGUACUCAGCUAAAAAGUUUAUUGCUAUGCAAAGGAAGGAAGAUGACUAUUAACACACAAGUUAUAGUCUCUGCUAUAUCCUCCCAUUGUGAUUUUAAUUUUAAAGUGUUAGAUUCAUUUCUGGAAGUGUAGAAAUUUCUUUAAGAUAAUCAAAUGAACCAUGCAGAAAAUCAAUUACAUAUUCUGAAUAGCUAUCUCAAUCUCACUGCUUAUUUCUUCAUUAUUAUCAAAAAAGUUUGCAUGUUAAUAAUUGUUGAAAUAAAAUGUACAACAUAUUCUUCAAGGAGAAAAAAAUAUGUUUUAAAGCAUUGUAAAAGAGAAGAAAGAUAUAUGGGCAUA
rnacentral:lncRNA from 1 species